GAUCAUGGCUCAGGAUGAACGCUAGCGGCAGGCCUAACACAUGCAAGUCGAGGGGCAGCAUAAAACAAGCUUGCUUGUUUGGUGGCGACCGGCGCACGGGUGCGUAACGCGUAUGCAACCUACCCUGUACUGGGGGAUAGCCCGGAGAAAUUCGGAUUAAGACCCCCAUAGCACUUAAGAAUGGCAUCAUUCAUAAGUUAAAGGUUACGGUACAGGAUGGGCAUGCGUCCCGUUAGCUAGAUGGUAAGGUAACGGCUUACCAUGGCAACGAUGGGUAGGGGGCCUGAGAGGGUGGUCCCCCACACUGGUACUGAGACACGGACCAGACUCCUACGGGAGGCAGCAGUGAGGAAUAUUGGUCAAUGGGCGCAAGCCUGAACCAGCCAUGCCGCGUGCAGGAAGACGGUCCUAUGGAUUGUAAACUGCUUUUAUUUGGGAAUAAACCUAUUUACGUGUAGAUAGCUGAAGGUACCAAAUGAAUAAGCACCGGCUAACUCCGUG
rnacentral:rRNA from 1 species